ACAGUUUUCAAAAGCAUAUACACUGAAAUUGGAACGAUACAGAGAAGAUUGGCAUGGCCCCUGCACAAGGAUGAUAUGCAAAUUCAUAAAGCGUUUCAUAUUAAA